rnacentral:lncRNA from 1 species
AGGCAGAAGGCUGUGAUGGGGAAAGGAGCACAUGGACAGGCAUUAAGCAUCUGGAAGAGGCUCUGGGAGGGUCCAAACAACAAACCACGCGGCGUUCUCUGGUGGCUGUGCUGGGACGAGUGGGCGGAAACAGCCGCAGCUGACAACUGUCAAGAACUGUCCCCUGCCAUUUCACCUGAGCUGACCUGAUCUCCCCAGGGGAAUGAGCCUCGUCUUGCAAGUCCCCUUCUUUGGGUCCCUGGCAGC